CUUUCACAAUCUCCACAAGCUUCUUCCAACCACUCGAAAUCUCCAAAUCCUCGCAGUUCGGAUCCAAAUUGAAGGUGAUCACCAGCAACAACAUCGUCUGUUCUGGUGCAACAGAAGACAAAAGCAAUGAAAAGGGAUCGUUAAAAGCCUGGUCGGCAGCUCUCGCUCUCUCUUCCAUCUUGGUUUCGUCGACUAUCCCGGCGCUUCCAGCCUCCGCCGACAUCUCCGGACUCACUCCGUGUAAAGAGUCCAAACAGUUCGCCAAGAGAGAGAAGCAGUCGCUGAAGAAGCUUGAAAGCUCUCUCAAGCUUUACGCCCCCGAGAGUGCUCCUGCACUUGCUAUUAAGGCUACAAUGGAAAAGACCAAGCGCAGGUAAGUUCUGUACAUUUUAUAACAACUUUUAUGUUUCUUAAGUUAGAUUUCUUACUUCAAUUCGAAUAUUAGCACAAUCGAUUUCUUAAUUGGGGAUGAAAUUGUUUGUUUGAGUGUAGAUUUGACAACUAUGGAAAGCAAGGAUUGUUGUGUGGAUCUGAUGGGCUUCCACACUUGAUAGUGAGUGGAGAUCAAAGGCAUUGGGGAGAGUUCAUUACACCAGGGAUUCUGUUUCUGUACAUUGCUGGAUGGAUUGGGUGGGUUGGAAGGAGUUAUUUGAUUGCUAUUAGGGAUGAGAAGAAGCCUACAAUGAAAGAGAUCAUCAUCGAUGUUCCAUUGGCUUCAAGUUUGGUAUUCCGUGGGUUUAUUUGGCCAGUUGCUGCU
rnacentral:lncRNA from 1 species